rnacentral:rRNA from 1 species
AAUGCGUAGAGAUCUGGGAGGGAAUACCCGGUGGGCGAAAGGCGGCCCCCCUGGACGAAAGACUGACGCUCAGGGUGCGAAAAGCGUGGGGAGCAAACAGGAUUAGAUACCCCUGGUAGUCCACGCCGUAAACGAUGUCGACUUGGAGGUUGUCCCCUUGAGGCGUGGCUUCCGGAGCUAACGCGUUAAGUCGACCGCCUGGGGAGUACGGCCGCAAGUUUAAAACUCAAAUGAAUUGACGGGGGCCCGCACAAGCGGUGGAGCAUGUGGUUUAAUUCGAUGCAACGCGAAGAACCUUACCUGGUCUUGACAUCCACAGAACUUUCCAGAGAUGGAUUGGUGCCUUCGGGAACUGUGAGACAGGUGCUGCAUGGCUGUCGUCAGCUCGUGUUGUGAAAUGUUGGGUUAAGUCCCGCAACGAGCGCAACCCUUAUCCUUUGUUGCCAGCGGUCCGGCCGGGAACUCAAAGGAGACUGCCAGUGAUAAACUGGAGGAAGGUGGGGAUGACGUCAAGUCAUCAUGGCCCUUACGACCAGGGCUACACACGUGCUACAAUGGCGCAUACAAAGAGAAGCGACCUCGCGAGAGCAAGCGGACCUCAUAAAGUGCGUCGUAGUCCGGAUUGGAGUCUGCAACUCGACUCCAUGAAGUCGGAAUCGCUAGUAAUCGUGGAUCAGAAUGCCACGGUGAAUACGUUCCCGGGCCUUGUACACACCGCCCGUCACACCAUGGGAGUGGGUUGCAAAAGAAGUAGGUAGCUUAACCUCGGAGGCGCU